rnacentral:rRNA from 1 species
UACGGGGGGGGGCAAGCGUUGUUCGGAAUUACGUGGCGUAAAGGGCUCGUAGGUGGCCAACUAAGUCAGACGUGAAAUCCCUCGGCUUAACCGGGGAACUGCGUCUGAUACUGGAUGGCUUGAGAUUGGGAGAGGGACGCGGAAUUCCAGGUGUAGCGGUGAAAUGCGUAGAUAUCUGGAGGAACACCGGUGGCGAAGGCGGCGUCCUGGACCAACACUGACGCUCAUGUGCGAAAGCGUGGGGAGCAAACAGG